UCCCUUUGAGGCUGUGUGAGAAUUUGGCAGCGGUGACUGUAUUUUUAAAUUCAUUGACACCCAAAUUCUAUGUGGCACUUACAGGGACCUCUUCAUUGAUAUCAGGACUAAUAUUUAUAUUUGAAUGGUGGUACUUCCAUAAGCAUGGCACAUCUUUUAUUGAGCAAGUAUCUGUAAGCCAUUUGCAACCACUGAUGGGAGGAACAGAGAGCAGCAUUUCAGAACCAGGUUCUCCUUCGAGGAACAGAGAAAAUGAAACCAGCAGACAGAAUUUGUCAGAAUGUAAGGUAUGGAGAAACCCUCUAAAUCUUUUCAGAGGAGCAGAAUAUAGGAGAUACACUUGGGUGACUGGUAAAGAGCCACUUACAUACUAUGACAUGAACCUGUCAGCUCAGGACCAUCAGACCUUUUUCACCUGUGACACAGAUUUUUUACGUCCUUCAGACACAGUUAUGCAGAAGGCUUGGAGGGAAAGAAAUCCUCCAGCUCGAAUCAAAGCAGCCUAUCAAGCUUUAGAAUUAAACAAUGAGUAAGUUUGAAAUAUAUGGAAAAUAAAUUUAUUUUGAAGGAAA
rnacentral:ncRNA from 2 species